AGUCGAGCGCAGGAACUGACGGAACUCUUCGGAGGGAAGGCAGUGGAAUGAGCGGCGGACGGGUGAGUAACACGUAAGGAACCUGCCUCAAGGAUUGGGAUAACUCCGAGAAAUCGGAGCUAAUACCGGAUAGUUCAACGGACCGCAUGGUCCGCUGAUGAAAGGCGCUUCGGCGUCACCUUGAGAUGGCCUUGCGGUGCAUUAGCUAGUUGGUGAGGUAACGGCCCACCAAGGCGACGAUGCAUAGCCGACCUGAGAGGGUGAUCGGCCACACUGGGACUGAGACACGGCCCAGACUCCUACGGGAGGCAGCAGUAGGGAAUCUUCCACAAUGGACGAAAGUCUGAUGGAGCAACGCCGCGUGAGUGAUGAAGGUUUUCGGAUCGUAAAACUCUGUUGUAAGGGAAGAACACGUACGAGAGGUAAUGCUCGUACCUUGACGGUACCUUACGAGAAAGCCACGGCUAACUACGUGCCAGCAGCCGCGGUAAUACGUAGGUGGCAAGCGUUGUCCGGAAUUAUUGGGCGUAAAGCGCGCGCAGGCGGCCUUUUAAGUCUGAUGUGAAAGCCCCCGGCUCAACCGGGGAGGGCCAUUGGAAACUGGAAGGCUUGAGUACAGAAGAGAAGAGUGGAAUUCCACGUGUAGCGGUGAAAUGCGUAGAGAUGUGGAGGAACACCAGUGGCGAAGGCGACUCUUUGGUCUGUAACUGACGCUGAGGCGCGAAAGCGUGGGGAGCAAACAGGAUUAGAUACCCUGGUAGUCCACGCCGUAAACGAUGAGUGCUAGGUGUUGGGGGGUUUCCGCCCCUCAGUGCUGAAGCUAACGCAUUAAGCACUCCGCCUGGGGA
rnacentral:rRNA from 1 species